UACAGAGGUGGCAAGCGUUGUUCGGAAUUACUGGGCGUAAAGGGCGCGUAGGCGGCCUACUAAGUCAGACGUGAAAUCCCCCGGCUUAACCUGGGAACUGCCUUUGAUACUGGCAUUCUCGAGUCCGGAAGAGGUGAGUGGAAUUCCGAGUGUAGAGGUGAAAUUCGUAGAUAUCGGGAGGAACACCAGUGGCGAAAGCGGCUACCUGGCCCAUUCUUGACGCUGAGGCGCGAAAGCUAGGGGAGCAAACGGG
rnacentral:rRNA from 1 species